GGUCGGUUAGCUCAGCUGGUUAGAGCGUCGUACUAAUACAAUACACGUUGUAUCAUGUAAUGCGAAGGUCAUGAGUUCGAUCCUCAUACUGACCA
rfam:Fungal sp. No.14919 DNA, contig: Contig0025.